rnacentral:lncRNA from 1 species
GUUUAUUGUAUAAAAUAACUAGGUACACACUGUUUGUUUAUAAGCAGCUAACCUUGGGACUCAGCUGCCAGGUUUAGCAAAUACAACGAUAAGGUGCCCAGUGAAAUAUAAAUUUCAGAUGCAUGAUGGAAAAUGUUUGGACUACCAGCUCACAGAGCAGUGUCCAGGAGAACAUUCUUUGUGUGUGUGGUGGGGGAGGCUUGCCUUCAGCAGGUCAUUCCUGGCAACCCUGCUUUCCCACUGGGAACUCUCUGGUUGAAAGCUGCCCCUGGUGAGCUGUGCUUAGUUCUCCUCCUUUCUCUCGGUCAUAUUUCCCUCCUUGACCCCAAACAUGCCAACCCCUACCUUCACAGUCAGUACCUGGGCAUGUUCCAGGCUCAGAAUGUUGGAGCUGGAAGGACUCAAGGAAAAGACAGAGAACACUGAAGAUCUCAUGGCCAAAAGAAUCACGUUCUCA